rnacentral:lncRNA from 10 species
GAGACUGGGGCCUAACAGAUUCUCCUGCCAGCUUGCUCUGCUAGGAAUACUGCUUACUGUCUGCUGUUUCUGGCUAAGAGAGUUUCCCACGGUUCUCGCCUUGAGACUGUGGCCACUGAGCGGGGACCUGUGAGAGGAACAAGAAGCUGCUGGCUGUGCCAGAAACAGGUGGGAUCGAACUUCUUUUUAAGAGCACUUUUUCAUCAACUGCUUAAAGAGAAGAUAAAACUUUGAGCACCUGAAUAAUUAGGAGCCAAGAUGAUAAAAAGAAACAAACAAACAAAAAACAGAAUAAAAGAAAACAGGUGUUUGGUCAGAGAGAAAAAAGAAGAGGAAAAACCCCGGAAGGGGAGCAGGAGGAGAAGCAACACUUGGGGAACAGGAAUUUCUCUUGUCUGAGUUUUUUGCAUUGGAAAUCUAGAUCUUUCUGUCUUCCUAAACCUUCUAAGGAAAGUCCAUAUAAAUAUCUUCUGUGGAAGGUUUAAUUUUAUUUCUGUAUUGUCCAAAUGAAGAAAAGAGACCCCUUUCCUGUCAGUGACACAAUAGCAAGGAGAGGAGAGGAUUUUUAAAUGAACGAAUUCAGCAGAAGCAGAGGCUCAGAGCCAGAGAAAAGCAUGAAAAUGUAAGCUUUUUAGGUCUCAGGAAUCUUGCAGAAGACCUUGGGCUUCCCUUAUAAAAGGUUGAGUCAUUCUGCCCAGGAUGUUGAGGGGACAGGGCCACAGCUGAUGUGUGGGUGACCCCUUAGCGUGGCUCAGUAUAAUCAGACAGCACCUAUACUUUAUUGGUUUGUAAUUGCAUAGAUUUUGAGUUUUCUUGUGCAAUAUCACCUUCAUAUUUCUUCAUAUUUCUGUGGUCUCGUCAUCUGUCUCUUGCUAUCAAGAAAAAUGACUGGCUGGGUGCAGUGGCUCACACUUGUAAUCCCAGCUCUUUGGGAGGCCGAGGAGGGAGGAUCACUGGAACCCAGGAGUUCGAGACCAGCCUGGGCAACAUAGUGAGGUUCUAUUACUACAAAAAAUAGAAAAAUUAGCUGGCCAUGGUGGUUUGUGCCUGUAGUCCCAGCUACUCAGGAGGCUGAGGUGGGAAGAUUGCUGGAGCCCAGGAAUUCGAGGGUGCAGUGAGCUAUGAUUGUGCCACUGCACUCCAGCCUGGGCAGCAGAGUGAGACCUCAAGGCAAAUCUGUAGGCUUCACGUCCUUACAGUGUCAUACAGGGGCAAAAGCACUUUGUUCAACACACUCUUAACUAUUGUUUAAAAUUCCUAGACUUAGGGAAGUUAUGUGUUAAGUUUUAGAUUUUUCUUUGGUAGAGAUGAAAAUAAUUUCUAUCUGGCAGGAAAAACAAAAACAACUCCGUAGUUUAUAGUUUAUUUCCCUGUAAGAUGUUAACUAGCCAGUAAUCGUACCCUAACAUUCCUUUUGUUAAUUGCCCAUAAAUACCUAGCUCCUCAGAUCUCUCUGAACUGGUAUUAAGAUCUUACUGAUUCCUCAUUAAUUAGUGAGUGUGAUAAAGUGUUUGACAUGUGUUCAUUUUAUAUUUGCAUAAAGAGUCUUGGAUUUAGCUUUUUGGAAAUUGUGCUUUUGCCCUCUCUGGACUUGUAGACCUCAGGGUAUAGCUGGUUCUCCUGCCCCUGCCUACAGAGAAAACCCAGAGCUGCAGAAUCAACCAAUUGGCUAUGCUCACCAUUUGCAUAGCAUAGUGCCUGGCACAGUUACUCACAUAUUUGGGGGUUUUUAAAAUUGGUUUUAG